rnacentral:rRNA from 1 species
ACUGCCCGGUAGCUAAAUGCGGAAGAGAUAAGUGCUGAAAGCAUCUAAGCACGAAACUUGCCCCGAGAUGAGUUCUCCCUGAGACUUAGAGUCUCCUGAAGGAACGUUGAAGACGACGACGUUGAUAGGCCGGGUGUGUAAGCGCAGCGAUGCGUUGAGCUAACCGGUACUAAUGAACCGUGAGGCUUAACCUU